rnacentral:misc_RNA from 1 species
UCCAACCAGCACAACAAAAUAGUCAUCAGGGAGUUCCCUUGAUCUUGCCCUCAAUUCCUUGACUUGCUCAUAAAAUCCUUCUGACUCAGGCUCUGGAAGAAAAUCUUGUGGUUGCCAACAUUUCUCAACAGGCUUUAGGUGCACCAAAAUGUUAUCCUCAGCCCAAUCCUCCAAUGAUUUGAAAAUCUCCAUCUUUUGUGGAGGCAUGGAGUGAGUCACCUGAACAUGUGCCUCUCGUGGAGGGCAAUAGGGCUGCUUUAGAUUCUCAAUCUCUUUGGUGGAAGUGGAGCCUAGAGUGGCCGCCAUGAAGAUUCUAUUGGGGGAUCUCUGAGAGCAGCAGUGGGAAGGGAGCUUGUGGGCUGAAGGGAAGGUUAGUUGGUUGAGUUUUAGAGCCAUCUGUGUCUAUCUUCACACACAACAACGAGCUAUCUUGAUUUGGUGUAAAAAAA